rnacentral:rRNA from 1 species
GGCCUACGGGGGGCUGCAGUGGGGAAUAUUGGACAAUGGGCGCAAGCCUGAUCCAGCCAUGCCGCGUGAGUGAUGAAGGCCCUAGGGUUGUAAAGCUCUUUCACCGAUGAAGAUAAUGACGGUAGUCGGAGAAGAAGCCCCGGCUAACUUCGUGCCAGCAGCCGCGGUAAUACGAAGGGGGCUAGCGUUGUUCGGAAUUACUGGGCGUAAAGCGCACGUAGGCGGAUAUUUAAGUCAGGGGUGAAAUCCCAGAGCUCAACUCUGGAACUGCCUUUGAUACUGGGUAUCUCGAGUAUGGAAGAGGUGAGUGGAAUUCCGAGUGUAGAGGUGAAAUUCGUAGAUAUUCGGAGGAACACCAGUGGCGAAGGCGGCUCACUGGUCCAUUACUGACGCUGAGGUGCGAAAGCGUGGGGAGCAAACAGGAUUAGAUACCCUAGUAGUCUG